GCGUGAGUGAUGAAGGCCUUCGGGUUGUAAAGCUCUUUCGCCCGCGACGAUGAUGACGGUAGCGGGAGAAGAAGCCCCGGCUAACUUCGUGCCAGCAGCCGCGGUAAUACGAAGGGGGCGAGCGUUGUUCGGAUUUACUGGGCGUAAAGGGCGCGUAGGCGGCCUUGUCAGUCAGGCGUGAAAGCCCCGGGCUCAACCUGGGAGGUGCGCUUGGGACGGCGAGGCUGGAGUUCGGGAGAGGAGAGUGGAAUUCCCAGUGUAGAGGUGAAAUUCGU
rnacentral:rRNA from 1 species